CAUCACGCCACGAGGGCUUGCGAGCCCUCAUUGGUCCUAGUACAACACUAAAAAUACGAGUUGCGCUGUGACGCGCGGCAUGUGAGUUACUAAGAGUUGAGUCAAACUAUUUCUAAACGGUCGCGGCUAAAUUAUUCAAGUGUUUAGUGUUUACAAUAAUCAAAUUAAUAAUUACAACCACAAUAGUGAUCAAAAUAUAAAUAUCUGGAUAUCAUUCACCUAUUACAACCGGCAGUUAUAAAAUAAAUUUGAAUCAUGUUCGUGGACGAUCCAGCCAACAUGGACUCCGUGUGGGUGUCUUCCGCCAUGGGUGCCCUCAAGGCAUUGGCACUGGUUUGUGAUAUAAUAACAUUUCCAGUAUAUUUGGUUCUUCAACAACCAUGGAAACAAAGGCAACUCGCCAAAAGGCCAAA